GGGGGAAAGCAGGGAAGGGGGAAAGCGAAAAGAAAAUGGGAAGGAUGGAGGAGUAGUAACAUAAAAAAGCGGAGGUUGGAACAAUUUAUUCACGGGGGGAGGGGGGGGAGAAACUGAGGCACGGGGGAGCCCCAGCCCCAUCACCAGAGCCAGGCGUGUCCCUGUCCCCCUGCACAUGCCCCCUGUCCCUGUCCCAAGCUCUGUCCCUAUUCCCUGACCCCCAUCCCUGGUCCCUCCAGCCCCAUCCCUGUUCCAUUCGCAGCCCCUAUUCCCAUCUCCAGACCUCUAACCCCAUUCCUGGUACCUGAAGCUCCAGCCCAGGUCUGUCUCAUCUCCAUCUCUUGUCCCCUCCUGUCCCCAUCCCUGAUCCUGUCCUCAUCCAGCCCUGGUCCAGUUUGUCCCCAUCUCUGCUCCAUUCCCAUCCUUGGUCUCUCCCAGCCCCAUCCCAGUCCCUCAUCCCCAUCCCUGCAUCAUCCUGGCUCCUUCUGGCGUGACGAGCACCUCUGGGUGCCCGGCUGUGCCCUCCUCCUUUAUCCCCUUGUCCCCUUUCCCCUCCCCAUCCAUCUAUUCCUUCUUUCCAUCCCUCCCUUCCAGCACUUUUCCUAUUCAUCCACUUCCCCUUCCCAGCCCCUUCCUCCUCCUUUUCCUGCUGUCCAUCCCUUUCUCCCCCUCUCCCUCCUUUCCCUUUCCCUUUUCCUCCCCUUAUUUCCUCUCUCUUCUCCUUUCCUUUUCCCCACACUGGUCCCUGUCCCCCAUCUCCCCUCCUUCCUCCAGCUCUCAGCCUCUUCAUCUUCCUUCACAACUUUUUCUUUCUCCCCUUAAUUUUUCUUCCAUUUCCUUAUACAUUUUUUCUUUUCUCUUCUCUCCCCUUUUUAAUUUCCUUUUAAACUUUUCUAUUCCUUUUUCCUUUCCCCUUUCUUUCCCUUUCUCCCUCAUCUCUUUUCUUUUUCUCUCUAACUUCUUUUCUUCUUCCAAUUCCUUGUUCUUUUUCCUCUUUCCCUUCUUUCUCUCCCUUUCUCUUCUCUCCCCCUUUUCUCUUUCUUUUCCCCUCUCUCAUCUUUUCCUUCCUCUUUUCCUUUUCCUCUUCCCCUUCCUCUGCCCCCCUUCCCGCGGUCCCCCG
rnacentral:lncRNA from 1 species